rnacentral:rRNA from 1 species
AUUGAACGCUGGCGGCAGGCCUAACACAUGCAAGUCGAACGAGUGGCGGACGGGUGAGUAAUGUCUGGGAAACUGCCCGAUGGAGGGGGCUAACUACUGGAAACGGUAGCUAAUACCGCAUACCAUCGGAUGUGCCCAGAUGGGAUUAGCUAGUAGGUGGGGUAACGGCUCACCUGGGCGAAGAUCCCUAGCUGGUCUGAGAGGAUGACCAGCCACACUGGAACUGAGACACGGUCCAGACGCCUACGGGAGGCAGCAGUGGGGAAUAUUGCACAAUGGGCGCAAGCCUGAUGCAGCCAUGCCGAGUGUAUGAAGAAGGCCUUCGGGUUGUAAAGUACUUGCAGCGAGGAGGCGUUACUCGCAGAAGAAGCACCGGCUAACUCCGUGCCAGCCGCCGCGGUAAUAC